rnacentral:rRNA from 1 species
GUCCGCACGAGCGCACCCUCGCCCUUAGUUGCCAGCAUUUAGUUGGCCACUCUAGGGGGACUGCCGGUGAUAAGCCGGAGGAAGGUGGGGAUGACGUCAAGUCCUCAUGGCCCUUACGGGCUGGGCUACACACGUGCUACAAUGGCGGUGACAGUGGGCAGCGACCUCGCGAGAGGAAGCUAAUCUCCAAAAGCCGUCUCAGUUCGGAUUGUUCUCUGCAACUCGAGAGCAUGAAGUUGGAAUCGCUAGUAAUCGCGUAACAGCAUGACGCGGUGAAUACGUUCCCGGGCCUUGUACACACCGCCCGUCACACCAUGGGAGUUGGUUUUACCCGAAGGCGCUGUGCUAACCGCAAGGAGGCAGGCGACCACGGUAGGGUCAGCGACUGGGGUGAAGUCU